rnacentral:misc_RNA from 1 species
GAUGAAGAACGCAGCGAAAUGCGAUAAGUAAUGUGAAUUGCAGAAUUCAGUGAAUCAUCGAAUCUUUGAACGCACAUUGCGCCCGCCAGUAUUCUGGCGGGCAUGCCUGUUCGAGCGUCAUUUCAACCAUCAAGCCCCAGGCUUGUGUUGGGGACCUGCGGCUGCCGCAGGCCCUGAAAACCAGUGGCGGGCUCGCUAGUCACACCGAGCGUAAUAGCAUACACAUCGCUCAGGGCGUGCUGCGGGUUCCGGCCGUUAAACCCCUUUUUUACCCAAGGUUGACCUCAGAUCAGGUAGGAAGACCCGCUGAACUUAAGCAUAUCAAUAAGCGGAGGA